rnacentral:lncRNA from 1 species
CACAAAAUGACUGACGAAUAGAAAUACUUUUCUAAAGAUUAUUACAUAGAAAUAAUAUCACCGCAGUAAACAAACAUUUAAAUACAGUUAUAAACAAAAUUGAUAAUUUGAAAAAUAAAAUAAAAUGUAAAUUUACAUUUAUGCAACAUGUACAAAGCCUUACUGUAUAUAUAUUCACUAUUUGACGAUUUGGCUAUAAUUACGAGUGCUCCUUAUGUAGGUUAUAAUCUUAUUCUAGUAUACUGACUACUUCAAGAUUUAGUACUGAGAACUGUAUACAGUGUUUUUUUCUUUUUCUAGAACUGAGUAGAAUUCUAGUUUUCGGGAAGUAAGCGCUACGGUGUCGACGUGAUUAUUGAUACAGACAUUCUUGAAUUCUCUAUAAAUUAAAAUAAUCGAGAAUCUAUAGUUCAAAAUACCUCCGUCAUAUUUGACCUACUAUAAGGUGGAUAUGAAUAUUCGACUUAGGUAACAUAUUUUCUAAGGUGCACAAUUAUAAAUAUAGUCAAAGCCUUUCCAUGGUUUUGGUUUAAAAACAAGAAAAGCAAUUCAUACACAACAAAUACAUACAGGUUAUUUUAAAUAAGAUUUUAGUCAUCUGAAUAUAUUAUGAUAAUGAAUCAAGUUUUACAUCAGUGAGAAGUUGCCUGGGAAACAAAUCUUUUCGCAGAUUUUUGACUACUUUAUAAAGUUUAUAAGGAAGACUUAAACAAAACACUAUUCAGGUUCUAAGGAUUGAGGUAAAUCAUCUCAUAUAUAGCAGUUCAAUUCACAUCCUUGUCAUUUUAAAAAUACUUUAAUCUUCAGACUAGCAGUCUCCAGAAAUUCCAAUUCCUGUAAUCCCAAUGUUCGCACAAAUUGUUAUGAAAACUAGAAAGUAACAGACGUAGUGCAUAUAAAGAUCGGUACGGCAAUGUGGGCAUUGACACAGAUCGCUGUCAAUAAAUUCUUUACGUCUAUACUUGUUUUACAACAACAGCAGAAUCUAAAUGAUUUCUUGUUAAUUAUAUUAGUUUUUGCUCGGCUCACUGCAAUACGGUGUUUGUAAUUAAAAUGCGCUCUUAUCACAGUGAAUAAAACGAACAGUACGUGUGACGCUAACGAAAAGAUGAUUAGCGUUAGGAGGUGAACAUAAAAUCGAUUUUUGUUUCCUGAACAUAAAACGGCUCUUAACUGUGAAAUAUUUGCCAUCAUAAGCGAGACGUCUGCUAUGGUUUGAAUAAAAUUUUUGCUUUCUGAAAAGCGGUUGGAAUUUUGCUGGUCGCCUUUACCGUUCUUCUUCUUUUUCUGAAAACAAAUUGUGUACUAAUAUACAAAGCAUGCAUCAAUUAUAUCUUACAACACUUACAGAAGAUGCAUAUAAGUUAGAUGAGAGGUG